AACGAACGCUGGCGGCAGGCCUAACACAUGCAAGUCGAACGCCGUAGCAAUACGGAGUGGCAGACGGGUGGGUAACGCGUGGGAACAUACCCCUCGGUUCGGAAUAACUUAGGGAAACUUGAGCUAAUACCGGAUACGUCCGAGGUUUUAACCGGCCUCGGAGAAAGAUUUAUCGCCGGAGGAUUGGCCCGCGUCUGAUUAGCUUGUUGGUGAGGUAAUGGCUCACCAAGGCGACGAUCAGUAGCUGGUCUGAGAGGAUGAUCAGCCACAUUGGGACUGAGACACGGCCCAAACUCCUACGGGAGGCAGCAGUGGGGAAUAUUGGACAAUGGGCGAAAGCCUGAUCCAGCCAUGCCGCGUGAGUGAUGAAGGCCUUAGGGUUGC
rnacentral:rRNA from 1 species